rnacentral:rRNA from 1 species
AAUUGAAGAGUUUGAUCAUGGCUCAGAUUGAACGCUGGCGGCAGGCCUAACACAUGCAAGUCGAACGGUAACAGGAAGCAGCUUGCUGCUUCGCUGACGAGUGGCGGACGGGUGAGUAAUGUCUGGGAAGCUGCCUGAUGGAGGGGGAUAACUACUGGAAACGGUAGCUAAUACCGCAUAAUGUCGCAAGACCAAAGAGGGGGACCUUCGGGCCUCUUGCCAUCGGAUGUGCCCAGAUGGGAUUAGCUUGUUGGUGGGGUAACGGCUCACCAAGGCGACGAUCCCUAGCUGGUCUGAGAGGAUGACCAGCCACACUGGAACUGAGACACGGUCCAGACUCCUACGGGAGGCAGCAGUGGGGAAUAUUGCACAAUGGGCGCAAGCCUGAUGCAGCCAUGCCGCGUGUAUGAAGAAGGCCUUCGGGUUGUAAAGUACUUUCAGCGGGGAGGAAGGGAGUAAAGUUAAUACCUUUGCUCAUUGACGUUACCCGCAGAAGAAGCACCGGCUAACUCCGUGCCAGCAGCCGCGGUAAUACGGAGGGUGCAAGCGUUAAUCGGAAUUACUGGGCGUAAAGCGCACGCAGGCGGUUUGUUAAGUCAGAUGUGAAAUCCCCGGGCUCAACCUGGGAACUGCAUCUGAUACUGGCAAGCUUGAGUCUCGUAGAGGGGGGUAGAAUUCCAGGUGUAGCGGUGAAAUGCGUAGAGAUCUGGAGGAAUACCGGUGGCGAAGGCGGCCCCCUGGACGAAGACUGACGCUCAGGUGCGAAAGCGUGGGGAGCAAACAGGAUUAGAUACCCUGGUAGUCCACGCCGUAAACGAUGUCGACUUGGAGGUUGUGCCCUUGAGGCGUGGCUUCCGGAGCUAACGCGUUAAGUCGACCGCCUGGGGAGUACGGCCGCAAGGUUAAAACUCAAAUGAAUUGACGGGGGCCCGCACAAGCGGUGGAGCAUGUGGUUUAAUUCGAUGCAACGCGAAGAACCUUACCUGGUCUUGACAUCCACGGAAGUUUUCAGAGAUGAGAAUGUGCCUUCGGGAACCGUGAGACAGGUGCUGCAUGGCUGUCGUCAGCUCGUGUUGUGAAAUGUUGGGUUAAGUCCCGCAACGAGCGCAACCCUUAUCCUUUGUUGCCAGCGGUCCGGCCGGGAACUCAAAGGAGACUGCCAGUGAUAAACUGGAGGAAGGUGGGGAUGACGUCAAGUCAUCAUGGCCCUUACGACCAGGGCUACACACGUGCUACAAUGGCGCAUACAAAGAGAAGCGACCUCGCGAGAGCAAGCGGACCUCAUAAAGUGCGUCGUAGUCCGGAUUGGAGUCUGCAACUCGACUCCAUGAAGUCGGAAUCGCUAGUAAUCGUGGAUCAGAAUGCCACGGUGAAUACGUUCCCGGGCCUUGUACACACCGCCCGUCACACCAUGGGAGUGGGUUGCAAAAGAAGUAGGUAGCUUAACCUUCGGGAGGGCGCUUACCACUUUGUGAUUCAUGACUGGGGUGAAGUCGUAACAAGGUAACCGUAGGGGAACCUGCGGUUGGAUCACCUCCUUA